GUGGGGAAUCUUCCGCAAUGGACGAAAGUCUGACGGAGCAACGCCGCGUGAGUGAUGAAGGUCUUCGGAUUGUAAAGCUCUGUUAAUCGGGACGAAAGAGCCUAGUGUGAAUAAUGCUAGGAAGUGACGGUACCGGAAUAGAAAGCCACGGCUAACUACGUGCCAGCAGCCGCGGUAAUACGUAGGUGGCAAGCGUUGUCCGGAAUUAUUGGGCGUAAAGCGCGCGCAGGCGGAUCUGCCAGUCUGUCUUAAAAGUUCGGGGCUUAACCCCGUGAUGGGAUUGAAACUACCGAUCUAGAGUAUCGGAGAGGAAAGUGGAAUUCCUAGUGUAGCGGUGAAAUGCGUAGAUAUUAGGAAGAACACCAGUGGCGAAGGCGACUUUCUGGACGAAAACUGACGCUGAGGCGCGAAAGCCAGGGGAGCGAACGGGAUUAGAAACCCGGGUAGUCC
rnacentral:rRNA from 1 species